AGUCGAACGAAGUAGCAAUACUUAGUGGCAGACGGGUGAGUAACAUGUAGGUAUCUGCCCUUUGGCCUGGAAUAACACGAGGAAACUUGUGCUAAUACCGGAUAAGUCUUUACGGAGAAAGCUUUAUGCACCAUUGGAUGAGCCUGCACUUGAUUAGUUUGUUGGUGGGGUAAUGGCCUACCAAGACUGUGAUCAAUAGCUGAUUUGAGAGGAUGAUCAGCCACAUUGGGACUGAGACACGGCCCAAACUCCUACGGGAGGCAGCAGUGGGGAAUCUUGCACAAUGGAGGAAACUCUGAUGCAGCGAUGCCGCGUGAGUGAAGAAGGCCUUUGGGUUGUAAAGCUCUUUCGUCGGGGAAGAAAAUGACUGUACCCGAAUAAGAAGGUCCGGCUAACUUCGUGCCAGCAGCCGCGGUAAUACGAAGGGACCUAGCGUAGUUCGGAAUUACUGGGCUUAAAGAGUUCGUAGGUGGUUGAAAAAGUUGGUGGUGAAAUCCCAGAGCUUAACUCUGGAACUGCCAUCAAAACUUUUCAGCUAGAGUAUGAUAGAGGAAAGUAGAAUUUCUAGUGUAGAGGUGAAAUUCGUAGAUAUUAGAAAGAAUACCAAUUGCGAAGGCAGCUUUCUGGAUCAUUACUGACACUGAGGAACGAAAGCAUGGGUAGCGAAGAGGAUUAGAUACCCUCGUAGUCCAUGCCGUAAACGAUGUGUGUUAGACGUUGGAAAUUUAUUUUCAGUGUCGCAGCGAAAGCGAUAAACACACCGCCUGGGGAGUACGACCGCAAGGUUAAAACUCAAAUGAAUUGACGGGGACCCGCACAAGUAGUGGAGCAUGUGGUUUAAUUCGAAGAUACGCGCAGAACCUUACCAACACUUGACAUGUUCGUCGCGACUCUAAGAGAUUAGAGUUUUCGGUUCGGCCGGACGAAACACAGGUGCUGCAUGGCUGUCGUCAGCUCGUGUCGUGAGAUGUUGGGUUAAGUCCCGCAACGAGCGCAACCCUCACUUUUAGUUGCCAUCAUUAAGUUGGGCACUCUGAAAGAACUGCCAGUGAUAAGCUGGAGGAAGGUGGGGAUGACGUCAAGUCCUCAUGGCCCUUACGUGUUGGGCUACACACGUGCUACAAUGGUAUCUACAACAGGAAGCAAGACUGCGAAGUUAAGCAAAUCCCUAAAAGAUACCUCAGUUCGGAUUGCACUCUGCAACUCGAGUGCAUGAAGCUGGAAUUACUAGUAAUCGUGGAUCAGCGUGCCACGGUGAAUGCGUUCCCGGGUCUUGUACACACCGCCCGUCACACCAUGGGAGUUGGUUCUACCUUAAGGCAAGGUUUAAA
rnacentral:rRNA from 1 species